rnacentral:rRNA from 1 species
UCCGCGAGUGGCGGGGUGUUUACUGGGCUUAAAGCGCCCGUAGCCGGCCCGGCAAGUCGCUCCUGAAAUCCCAGGGCUCAACCCUGGGGCGGGGGGCGAUACUGCCGGGCUAGGGGGCGGAAGAGGCCGCCGGUACUCCGGGGGUAGGGGCGAAAUCCGUUAAUCCCCGGAGGACCACCAGUGGCGAAAGCGGGCGGCCAGAACGCGCCCGACGGUGAGGGGCGAAAGCCGGGGGAGCAAACCGGGCUCAGGUCGGCGUUGCGCAGACAAUCUAAUCAUCCAGUCCCACCACGCGCGUCAACCCCCUCAUCUUCAAGCCGACCUGGCCCGGGCUCAAAGGGGAUUAGAUACCCCUGUAGUCC